CGGUUGAUCCUGCCGGACCUGACUGCUAUCGGAUUGAUACUAAGCCAUGCGAGUCAUUGUAGCAAUACAAGGCAGACGGCUCAGUAACGCGUAGUCAACCUAACCUAUGGACGGGAAUAACCUCGGGAAACUGAGAAUAAUGCCCGAUAGAACACUAUACCUGGAAUGGUUUGUGUUCUAAAUGAUUUAUCGCCGUAGGAUGGGACUGCGGCCUAUCAGUUUGUUGGUGAGGUAAUGGCCCACCAAGACUAUUACAGGUACGGGCUCUGAGAGGAGUAGCCCGGAGAUGGGUACUGAGACACGGACCCAGGCCCUAUGGGGCGCAGCAGGCGAGAAAACUUUGCAAUGUGCGAAAGCACGACAAGGUUAAUCCGAGUGAUUUGUGCUAAACGAAUCUUUUGUUAGUCCUAGAACCACUAACGAAUAAGGGGUGGGCAAGUUCUGGUGUCAGCCGCCGCGGUAAAACCAGCACCUCAAGUGGUCAGGAUGAUUAUUGGGCCUAAAGCAUCCGUAGCCGGCUCUGUAAGUUUUCGGUUAAAUCUGUACGCUUAACGUACAGGCUGCCGGGAAUACUGCAGAGCUAGGGAGUGGGAGAGGUAGACGGUACUCGGUAGGAAGGGGUAAAAU
rnacentral:rRNA from 1 species